rnacentral:ncRNA from 1 species
CUGACAUGUGUGCGAGUUAACAGGCAAGUAAACCCGUAAGGCGCAAGGAAGCUGACUGGUGGGAUCCCCUAGUGGGUUGCACCACCGGUCUACCUUGAUCUUCUUAGAAGGAUUCGAGUGUGAGCAUGUCUAUCGAAACCCGAAAGAUGGUGAACUAUGCCUGAGCAGGGUAAAGUCAAAGGAAACUCUGGUGGAGACCCGUAGCAAUAGCAAUACUGAUGUGCAAAUCGUUCGUCUUAGAGAGUACUCUUAACCUUAACCAUGAAUAACUCUUAUCUUAUUAAUUUAACCUUCUCUUAG